GACGAACGCUGGCGGCGUGCUUAACACAUGCAAGUCGAACGGAAAGGCCCUGCUUGCAGGGUACUCGAGUGGCGAACGGGUGAGUAACACGUGGGUGAUCUGCCCUGCACUUCGGGAUAAGCUUGGGAAACUGGGUCUAAUACCGGAUAGGAGCCAUCUUUAGUGUGGUGGUUGGAAAGUUUUUUCGGUGUAGGAUGAGCUCGCGGCCUAUCAGCUUGUUGGUGGGGUAAUGGCCUACCAAGGCAGCGACGGGUAGCCGGCCUGAGAGGGUGUACGGCCACAUUGGGACUGAGAUACGGCCCAGACUCCUACGGGAGGCAGCAGUGGGGAAUAUUGCACAAUGGGCGCAAGCCUGAUGCAGCGACGCCGCGUGGGGGAUGAAGGCCUUCGGGUUGUAAACUCCUUUCGCUAGGGACGAAGCUUUUUUGUGACGGUACCUAGAUAAGAAGCACCGGCUAACUACGUG
rnacentral:rRNA from 1 species